AUUGAACGCUGGCGGCAUGCCUAACACAUGCAAGUCGAACGAGGUUGGCUUCGGCCAGCCUAGUGGCGGACGGGUGAGUAAUGCGUGGGAAUCUGCCUCGUAGUGGGGGAUAACGUAGGGAAACUUACGCUAAUACCGCAUACGCUCUACGGAGGAGGGGGGGGGACCUACGGACCUCUCGCUAUGAGAUGACCCCACGUCUGAUUAGCUAGUUGGUGGGGUAAAGGCCUACCAAGGCGACAAUCAGUAGCCGGCCUGAGAGGGUGGACGGCCACACUGGGACUGAGACACGGCCCACACUCCUACGGGAGGCAGCAGUGGGGAAUAUUGGACAAUGGGCGAAAGCCUGAUCCAGCAAUGCCGCGUGUGUGAAGAAGGCCUGCGGGUUGUAAAGCUCUUUAAGUGGGGAAGAACGGGAUUGCGCUAAUACCGUGAUCCUUUGACGUUACCCACAGAAUAAGCACCGGCUAACUCCGUGCCAGCAGCCGCGGUAAUACGGAGGGUGCGAGCGUUAAUCGGAAUUACUGGGCGUAAAGCGCAUGUAGGCGGUUUGGUAAGUC
rnacentral:rRNA from 1 species